rnacentral:rRNA from 1 species
GAUGAACGCUGGCGGCGUGCCUAAUACAUGCAAGUCGAGCGAACGGACGAGAAGCUUGCUUCUCUGAUGUUAGCGGCGGACGGGUGAGUAACACGUGGAUAACCUACCUAUAAGACUGGGAUAACUUCGGGAAACCGGAGCUAAUACCGGAUAAUAUUUUGAACCGCAUGGUUCAAAAGUGAAAGACGGUCUUGCUGUCACUUAUAGAUGGAUCCGCGCUGCAUUAGCUAGUUGGUAAGGUAACGGCUUACCAAGGCAACGAUGCAUAGCCGACCUGAGAGGGUGAUCGGCCACACUGGAACUGAGACACGGUCCAGACUCCUACGGGAGGCAGCAGUAGGGAAUCUUCCGCAAUGGGCGAAAGCCUGACGGAGCAACGCCGCGUGAGUGAUGAAGGUCUUCGGAUCGUAAAACUCUGUUAUUAGGGAAGAACAUAUGUGUAAGUAACUGUGCACAUCUUGACGGUACCUAAUCAGAAAGCCACGGCUAACUACGUGCCAGCAGCCGCGGUAAUACGUAGGUGGCAAGCGUUAUCCGGAAUUAUUGGGCGUAAAGCGCGCGUAGGCGGUUUUUUGAGUCUGAUGUGAAAGCCCACGGCUCAACCGUGGAGGGUCAUUGGAAACUGGAAAACUUGAGUGCAGAAGAGGAAAGUGGAAUUCCAUGUGUAGCGGUGAAAUGCGCAGAGAUAUGGAGGAACACCAGUGGCGAAGGCGACUUUCUGGUCUGUAACUGACGCUGAUGUGCGAAAGCGUGGGGACCAAACAGGAUUAGAUACCCUGGUAGUCCACGCCGUAAACGAUGAGUGCUAAGUGUUAGGGGGUUUCCGCCCCUUAGUGCUGCAGCUAACGCAUUAAGCACUCCGCCUGGGGAGUACGACCGCAAGGUUGAAACUCAAAGGAAUUGACGGGGACCCGCACAAGCGGUGGAGCAUGUGGUUUAAUUCGAAGCAACGCGAAGAACCUUACCAAAUCUUGACAUCCUUUGACAACUCUAGAGAUAGAGCCUUCCCCUUCGGGGGACAAAGUGACAGGCGGUGCAUGGUUGUCGUCAGCUCGUGUUGUGAGAUGUUGGGUUAAGUCCCGCAACGAGCGCAACCCUUAAGCUUAGUUGCCAUCAUUAAGUUGGGCACUCUAAGUUGACUGCCGGUGACAAACCGGAGGAAGGUGGGGAUGACGUCAAAUCAUCAUGCCCCUUAUGAUUUGGGCUACACACGUGCUACAAUGGACAAUACAAAGGGCAGCGAAACCGCGAGGUCAAGCAAUCCCAUAAAGUUGUUCUCAGUUCGGAUUGUAGUCUGCAACUCGACUACAUGAAGCUGGAAUCGCUAGUAAUCGUAGAUCAGCAUGCUACGGUGAAUACGUUCCCGGGUCU